GCCUGCUGCCCCAGCAUGAUGGCAAGCAGGCUGACUCGGCAGCGUGAUAGCAAGCAAGCUGGAUCGGAUGAUAGUUUCUUAGUCUCACUCUAGAUAAUCUGCUCUCAAACUGAGGCACAGAAUCCUGCAAAAGUAGAUUACAGUUGUUGCUUCUACAGGUUCUAAAAGUUGUGUUCAUGGAUCCAGAGCUUCUAAUGUGUGACUUUUCAGUUCUCAGGUAACUACAGAUUUUGGUGUGAUCGGUGCCACCUGAUGAUUUGGUUUGUUUCAUUUUGUGCUUCUUCCAAGUCAGAUGUUGCGCGUUCACUUGCAUUUGCUUUUGUAGUUGUGAGAAUGGAUAGGGCUGACCAACAUGAUCCACCAGGGCGUCCCCGCUGGUGCCAUGGGAGAGGCCAGACUGGGGAUGUUGGUCCAAUUGCUCGCUCCGGAGGAAAUGUCAAAAUUCAGAAAGAGGUAAUUCCAACUUUCGGUGAGGGCCAACAUGGAUUUCUAGAGUAAUGCAUCCUAUUUAUUCAAUUUUAUGUUCUUCCUUCAAUUUGUGCAGUCAAAUUUAAGAAGCAGAUACUUAUCCAGCCAACAACACACAUGUUACCUCUAAAGGAGUAUCACUGACCUACAUUUAUAUGCAAAUCUGAAUAGAACGUAUUCUUCCGCUUUAUCUAAAAUAAUCUCACAACUGUACCGAAAGGAAAAUGGUAGUUAGUGCAAAAUUGUGGUUGGAUCUUAUGUACUUUCAGUCAUUACACAAGCUAUCUUGAAGCUUCGAUUUUUAUGGUUGGAUUUUAUGUACUUUGGAGUGACAAGCAAGAAGAUCCGUGUCGUAACUGCACUGGAAUAAAACUCAUCCGCAUGAUGAUGCUUAUAAGUGCCCUAUGAGUUAAUAUAUAUCGGACGAGCUAACGUAGUCUUAUUUUAUAAUUUGUUUUUACUCAUGAUUUUACUUAAUUGUCAAAAAUGUGCACAACUAUUAGCCUGCUAACCUUUUGUCGUUCUGUGUGCUGUCUGUAUAAAUACGUGGAGUUAUUUCAAGUUCAACGCUUCAGCUUGAGCACGUGGAUUUCGCUUAGGAGUGUCAACUACUGAAUUUAUUUGUCAUCAUAAACAUGCUACAGUUGUGUUAUCUAUAUUUUCUAUUAGUAACCAUUUCCAUGCUAUUUUAUAGUCAGCUCUCUGUUUGCUAUACUUCGCGUUGUUGUAUGGAAUUGUGCUGAAGACUACUCUCAGUAUCUUCUGUCUUAUACAGUUAUACUGCUUCUAUCCAUUUUAUUCAGCUUACUCUGCAAUGACUAUGAUCUCUAUGAAAUCAGCUCUUCCUCUGCUUUUGUGAUUUUGAUUUAUUCUUCAGGCUAUCAAACAUAAGCUUAUAGUCUAUGCUUAUAAGAUGCAACAAAUCUCAGCAUUGGGAGUGAAGGUUCAGCUUUUCCAGUUACCUUCCUUAGGGGCUGUAUACUUGGAGGUGCGCAGUUUUUGGCAACAGGGCCGUCAGGUCUCCUGAUGGUACUGAUUCUCUUCCUUUUUCUCCUACAUGAGUUAACAACCUCUGCUAUCAAAAUUGCAAGUGUUUAGGUUUCAAUUUUUUUUGCAACUGUUUAUAAAAGGAGCUAGGCAGAAAAUCAUAUAAUUUAGAUUAGACAUGCAUAUCUAUGUUAUAGUUCUUUCCACAAUGGAACUUCCAUGCUUUGUUUACAAAAUCCACACAAAAGCGCAUGAAAUACUUGGCCGAAAGUACAUUCCACACAAAAGCUAAGAAAACAUAUUGUGUUAGCAAAUCCUAUGCUACAAAUUUUUAUGCCAUGGUAUUGAUCAAUUGCAAUAAGUGUUCAUUCCUUCUUGCUACAAAAUAAAAGCUACGCUUACAGAAAAAAAUUAGUUAGCAUACAUGCUGGUUACAUUUUUUGACCAAUUUCCUAAUCAAUAUGGAGGCUAUAAAUCUUCAUGCCAGUUACCUCAAGCAAAGUACACUUUACUGGGAAUCAGAGUGAUGCAAAGAAAUAACUAACACAACACUACUUAUAAGAUUUAAUUAGGAAGUUGCAGAGAUGCCCACGGACAAAAUACUACAGGUGGUUGGCAGGCUACCGAUGACAGUGCACGCAAGGAGGGGUGGUGCAGGGCAAGUUGCUCUAUCCAAUCGACGACGUAGUCGCCUUUGUAGUUGUCCUUGAGCGCUGGUGAUCUGCCGCUGCAACCCUGUGGCCAGGCUCGAUGCUGCCGGGCGGGACGGGGAGACGAGCAGUAGAGGGCGACAACAGCAGCGCUCGAGGACAUGCAUGGACAUGAUCUUGAACAAGGUGGUGGCAAACGUUAGAGGAUGGCUGCUGCUUUGCAAGAAUGCUCAUAAUUUUCACUCUUCGACAGGAAAGUGGUGCUGCUGGAAAAAACAAGGGGCGGGUAGGGGUAGUUGCAGAUUGCCUAGACAUGAACUUUGCAACCUUUGGAUAUGUUGCAGUGUUCUCCUCCUCUAGAUUAGCUUUUGAGUUGUUCUCUUAGAAAUUAUAACUGGAUGAUGUAUAAGAACUUUUUUGGUUGUA